CGGGUCACUGUGCUGCUGUGGAUCUCACUGCUCAGUGGGGGGCAGCAACACACUUACUACAUUUCUGGGUUGUUGAUUCAUAAUAAAAUAUUACAAUGUGUAUCUACACGGAUCCAUUUGUUGUAAAAUUCUGCCUGUAAAUGUUUCUGGGAAACGAUAUCGUUCACGCACGAAAUGGUUUGGUGCGAAGAUGUUUAUUUGAAAUGCGAGAGCAAGAUGAGGAAUCUUCAUGAAAGUGAUGACAUGAGCAAACACCACAAGAACAUCUGGCAUCCCUCCCUUCAUCUCUCACCUGUUUCUCAGGACCUUGAGCUCCUAUAAAUGGCACCUCUUGAAAGAUGUUGAUGCAGGCAGUGUUUGAGCAGCCUGCCCAUUUCCUGGCCAGGAAAGACAGUUUGCUUAAGCUGCUUGAUUUCUCAGAGGGUUGAGAAGUUUGCCACUUGCAUCUUCUGCUUAUGUAGCAUCACGCUGAACCCCUGUGAACCUCUACAGCUUCACAAAGAACGCCAUGGGAAUAUUCUCUCUGUGUACUGCUCAACAUAUCAUCACAAAAAGGAUGUCAAACAAAUGUGUUUAUCUUUGCUUUUAACUGCUCCUGAUCCAGUAGCGGUGAACAUUACAUACAUUAUGUAUUAACUAGCCUACAUACGAUUUAUAACCUGGGAAACAGACAUUUUCUUCGUUCCAUAAUUACAGAAUUGCGAUCUCCUGAGUCCUGAAAACAACUCGGAACACAGCAGCUUGAUUGAUAGUUUUGUGGGAAUAAAGAUUCAGUGUUCAUUUC